UUCCGGUUGAUCCCGCCGGACCCGACUGCUAUCAGAGUGGGACUAAGCCAUGCGAGUCGACGUAGCAAUGCGUGGCGAACGGCUCAGUAACACGUAGUCAACGUGCCCAGGGGACGUGGAUAACCUCGGGAAACUGAGAAUAAACCACGAUAGGUCACGAUUUCUGGAAUGGAUCAUGGCAUAAAUCUACAUGGCCCCUGGAUUGGACUGCGGCCGAUCAGGCAGUUGGUGAGGUAAUGGCCCACCAAACCUAUAACCGGUACGGGCUCUGAGAGGAGAAGCCCGGAGAUGGGCACUGAGACAAGGGCCCAGGCCCUAUGGGGCGCAGCAGGCGCGAAACCUCUGCAAUAGGCGAAAGCCUGACAGGGUUACUCUGAGUGAUUUCCGCUAAGGGGAUCUUUUGGCACCUCUAAAAAUGGUGCAGAAUAAGGGGUGGGCAAGUCUGGUGUCAGCCGCCGCGGUAAUACCAGCACCCCGAGUGGUCGGGACGAUUAUUGGGCCUAAAGCAUCCGUAGCCGGUUCUGCAAGUCUUCCGUUAAAUCCAGCCGCUCAACGGAUGGGCCGCGGAGGAUACUAUAGGACUAGGAGGCGGGAGGGGCAAGCGGUACUCAGUGGGUAGGGGUAAAAUCCUUUGAUCCAUUGAAGACCACCAGUGGCGAAGGCGGCUUGCCAGAACGCGCUCGACGGUGAGGGAUGAAAGCUGGGGGAGCAAACCGGAUUAGAUACCCGGGUAGUCCCAG
rnacentral:rRNA from 1 species